rnacentral:rRNA from 1 species
GGGUUGUGAGGUUAAGCGACUAAGCGUACACGGUGGAUGCCCUGGCAGUCAGAGGCGAUGAAGGGCGUGCUAAUCUGCGAUAAGCGCCGGUAAGGUGAUAUGAACCGUUAUAACCGGCGAUACCCGAAUGGGGAAACCCAGUGUGAUUCGUCACACUAUCAUUAACUGAAUCCAUAGGUUAAUGAGGCGAACCGGGGGAACUGAAACAUCUAAGUACCCCGAGGAAAAGAAAUCAACCGAGAUUCCCCCAGUAGCGGCGAGCGAACGGGGAGGAGCCCAGAGCCUGAAUCAGCAUGUGUGUUAGUGGAAGCGUCUGGAAAGGCGCGCGAAACAGGGGGAUAGCCCCGUAUGAAAAAGCGCAGAUGCUGUGAGCUCGAUGAGUAGGGCGGGACCCGUGGUAUCCUGUCUGAAUAAGGGGGGAUCGUCCUCCAAGGCUAAAUACUCCUGACUGACCGGUAGUGAACCAGUACCGUGAGGGAAAGGCGAAAAGAACCCCGGCGAGGGGAGUGAAAAAGAACCUGAAACCGUGUACGUACAAGCAGUGGGAGCACCCUUUUGGGUGUGACUGCGUACCUUUUGUAUAAUGGGUCAGCGACUUAUAUUCUGUAGCAAGGUUAACCGAAUAGGGGAGCCGGAGGGAAACCGAGUCUUAAUUGGGCGUUAAGUUGCAGGGUAUAGACCCGAAACCCGGUGAUCUAGCCAUGGGCAGGUUGAAGGUUGGGUAACACUAACUGGAGGACCGAACCGACUAAUGUUGAAAAAUUAGCGGAUGACCUGUGGCUGGGGGUGAAAGGCCAAUCAAACCGGGAGAUAGCUGGUUCUCCCCGAAAGCUAUUUAGGUAGCGCCUCGUGAAUUCAUCUCCGGGGGUAGAGCACUGUUUCGGCUAGGGGGCCAUCCCGGCUUACCAACCCGAUGCAAACUGCGAAUACCGGAGAAUGUUAUCACGGGAGACACACGGCGGGUGCUAACGUCCGUCGUGAAGAGGGAAACAACCCAGACCGCCAGCUAAGGUCCCAAAGUCAUGGUUAAGUGGGAAACGAUGUGGGAAGGCACAGACAGCCAGGAUGUUGGCUUAGAAGCAGCCAUCAUUUAAAGAAAGCGUAAUAGCUCACUGGUCGAGUCGGCCUGCGCGGAAGAUGUAACGGGGCUAAACCAUGCACCGAAGCUGCGGCAGCGACGUUUAUGCGUUGUUGGGUAGGGGAGCGUUCUGUAAGCCUGCGAAGGUGGCCUGUGAGGGUUGCUGGAGGUAUCAGAAGUGCGAAUGCUGACAUAAGUAACGAUAAAGCGGGUGAAAAGCCCGCUCGCCGGAAGACCAAGGGUUCCUGUCCAACGUUAAUCGGGGCAGGGUGAGUCGACCCCUAAGGCGAGGCCGAAAGGCGUAGUCGAUGGGAAACGGGUUAAUAUUCCCGUACUUGGUGUUACUGCGAAGGGGGGACGGAGAAGGCUAUGUUGGCCGGGCGACGGUUGUCCCGGUUUAAGCGUGUAGGCUGGUUUUCCAGGCAAAUCCGGAAAAUCAAGGCUGAGGCGUGACGACGAGGCACUACGGUGCUGAAGCAACAAAUGCCCUGCUUCCAGGAAAAGCCUCUAAGCAUCAGGUAACAUCAAAUCGUACCCCAAACCGACACAGGUGGUCAGGUAGAGAAUACCAAGGCGCUUGAGAGAACUCGGGUGAAGGAACUAGGCAAAAUGGUGCCGUAACUUCGGGAGAAGGCACGCUGACACGUAGGUGAAGUGAUUUACUCAUGGAGCUGAAGUCAGUCGAAGAUACCAGCUGGCUGCAACUGUUUAUUAAAAACACAGCACUGUGCAAACACGAAAGUGGACGUAUACGGUGUGACGCCUGCCCGGUGCCGGAAGGUUAAUUGAUGGGGUCAGCGCAAGCGAAGCUCCUGAUCGAAGCCCCGGUAAACGGCGGCCGUAACUAUAACGGUCCUAAGGUAGCGAAAUUCCUUGUCGGGUAAGUUCCGACCUGCACGAAUGGCGUAAUGAUGGCCAGGCUGUCUCCACCCGAGACUCAGUGAAAUUGAACUCGCUGUGAAGAUGCAGUGUACCCGCGGCAAGACGGAAAGACCCCGUGAACCUUUACUAUAGCUUGACACUGAACAUUGAGCCUUGAUGUGUAGGAUAGGUGGGAGGCUUUGAAGCGUGGACGCCAGUCUGCGUGGAGCCGACCUUGAAAUACCACCCUUUAAUGUUUGAUGUUCUAACGUGGACCCGUAAUCCGGGUUGCGGACAGUGUCUGGUGGGUAGUUUGACUGGGGCGGUCUCCUCCUAAAGAGUAACGGAGGAGCACGAAGGUUGGCUAAUCCUGGUCGGACAUCAGGAGGUUAGUGCAAUGGCAUAAGCCAGCUUGACUGCGAGCGUGACGGCGCGAGCAGGUGCGAAAGCAGGUCAUAGUGAUCCGGUGGUUCUGAAUGGAAGGGCCAUCGCUCAACGGAUAAAAGGUACUCCGGGGAUAACAGGCUGAUACCGCCCAAGAGUUCAUAUCGACGGCGGUGUUUGGCACCUCGAUGUCGGCUCAUCACAUCCUGGGGCUGAAGUAGGUCCCAAGGGUAUGGCUGUUCGCCAUUUAAAGUGGUACGCGAGCUGGGUUUAGAACGUCGUGAGACAGUUCGGUCCCUAUCUGCCGUGGGCGCUGGAGAACUGAGGGGGGCUGCUCCUAGUACGAGAGGACCGGAGUGGACGCAUCACUGGUGUUCGGGUUGUCAUGCCAAUGGCACUGCCCGGUAGCUAAAUGCGGAAGAGAUAAGUGCUGAAAGCAUCUAAGCACGAAACUUGCCCCGAGAUGAGUUCUCCCUGAGACUUAAAGUCUCCUGAAGGAACGUUGAAGACGACGACGUUGAUAGGCCGGGUGUGUAAGCGCAGCGAUGCGUUGAGCUAACCGGUACUAAUGAACCGUGAGGCUUAACCUUACAACGCCGAAG